GAUGAACGCUGGCGGCGUGCCUAAUACAUGCAAGUCGAGCGAACGGACGAGAAGCUUGCUUUUCUGAUGUUAGCGGCGGACGGGUGAGUAACACGUGGAUAACCUACCUAUAAGACUGGGAUAACUUCGGGAAACCGGAGCUAAUAUCGGAUAAUAUUUUGAACCGCAUGGUUCAAAAGUGAAAGACGGUCUUGCUGUCACUUAUAGAUGGAUCCGCGCUGCAUUAGCUAGUUGGUAAGGUAACGGCUUACCAAGGCAACGAUGCAUAGCCGACCUGAGAGGGUGAUCGGCCACACUGGAACUGAGACACGGUCCAGACUCCUACGGGAGGCAGCAGUAGGGAAUCUUCCGCAAAGGGCGAAAGCCUGCCGGAGCAACGCCGCGUGAGUGAUGAAGGUCUUCGGAUCGUAAAACUCUGUUAUUAGGGAAGAACAUAUGUGUAAGUAACUGUGCACAUCUUGACGGUACCUAAUCAGAAAGCCACGGCUAACUACGUG
rnacentral:rRNA from 1 species